CCCUUUGGUAUUCCUUAGGGCAUGCCUGUUCGAGCGUCACUACACACCUUAUGACAAUAUGUGUGGUCUUGGCAGGAGUGAAUUGCUGGUCUAUGGAAGUAUUCCAGCAGUACACAAUGCUAAAAAAUAUGGGAAGGUUACCAGAUAUGAACAACAGACUUUGUAAAUGGUUGUAGGACCUAGAUCAGUCACAGGUCAUGUCUGGUCCCUUACCUUAAGGACCCCCCAUCCUAGAUGAACUAUGGGUUGACCUCGGAUCAGGUAGGAAUACCCGCUGAACUUAAGCAUAUCAAUAAGCGGAG
rnacentral:sRNA from 1 species